CAGUAGCCGCGGGAAUACAGAGGGUGCAAGCGUUAAUCGGAAUUACUGGGCGUAAAGCGCGCGUAGGUGGUUUGUUAACUUGGAUGUGAAAUCCCCGGGCUCAACCUGGGAACUGCAUCCAAAACUGGCAAGCUAGAGUAUGGUAGAGGGUGGUGGAAUUUCCUGUGUAGCGGUGAAAUGCGUAGAUAUAGGAAGGAACACCAGUGGCGAAGGCGACCACCUGGACUGAUACUGACACUGAGGUGCGAAAGCGUGGGGAGCAAACAGGAUUAGAUACCCCCGUAGUCCCUGUCUCUUAUAA
rnacentral:rRNA from 1 species